AUGCAAGUAGAACGCUGAAGGAGGAGCUUGCUCUCUCUGGAUGAGUUGCGAACGGGUGAGUAACGCGUAGGUAACCUGCCUGGUAGCGGGGGAUAACUACUGGAAACGAUAGCUAAUACCGCAUAACAGUAGAUGUUGCAUGACAUUUGCUUAAAAGGUGCAAUUGCAUCACUACCAGAUGGACCUGCGUUGUAUUAGCUAGUUGGUGGGGUAACGGCUCACCAAGGCGACGAUACAUAGCCGACCUGAGAGGGUGAUCGGCCACACUGGGACUGAGACACGGCCCAAACUCCUACGGGAGGCAGCAGUAGGGAAUCUUCGGCAAUGGACGGAAGUCUGACCGAGCAACGCCGCGUGAGUGAAGAAGGUUUUCGGAUCGUAAAGCUCUGUUGUAAGAGAAGAACGAGUGUGAGAGUGGAAAGUUCACACUGUGACGGUAUCUUACCAGAAAGGGACGGCUAACUACGUGCCAGCAGCCGCGGUAAUACGUAGGUCCCGAGCGUUGUCCGGAUUUAUUGGGCGUAAAGCGAGCGCAGGCGGUUAGAUAAGUCUGAAGUUAAGGGCUGUGGCUUAACCAUAGUACGCUUUGGAAACUGUUUAACUUGAGUGCAAGAGGGGAGAGUGGAAUUCCAUGUGUAGCGGUGAAAUGCGUAGAUAUAUGGAGGAACACCGGUGGCGAAAGCGGCUCUCUGGCUUGUAACUGACGCUGAGGCUCGAAAGCGUGGGGAGCAAACAGGAUUAGAUACCCUGGUAGUCCACGCCGUAAACGAUGAGUGCUAGGUGUUAGACCCUUUCCGGGGUUUAGUGCCGUAGCUAACGCAUUAAGCACUCCGCCUGGGGAGUACGACCGCAAGGUUGAAACUCAAAGGAAUUGACGGGGGCCCGCACAAGCGG
rnacentral:rRNA from 1 species